GGUAGUAUGGCUGAUAUAGCGGUAAACUGUAAAUUUACUUAUAAGGAUUAAACCUUUGCUGCCA
rnacentral:tRNA from 1 species